CACUUCUAAGGAAGGCAGCAGGCGCGCAAAUUACCCAAUCCUGACUCAGGGAGGUAGUGACAAGAAAUAACAAUAAACCGGCUUAUGCCGGUUUAAUUGGAAUGAGUACAAUUUAAACAUCUUAACGAGGGACAAUUGGAGGGCAAGUCUGGUACCAGCAGCCGCGGUAAUUCCAGCUCCAAUAGCGUAUACUAAAGUUGUUGCAGUUAAAAAGCUCGUAGUUGGAUUUCUGUGGGGACGGAGCGGCCGGCCGCAACACGCGGUUCGAGCUAGCGCUUUCCCUACAUCCUGCCGCGAACCGUGCUACCAUUGAUUUGGUGGCGCCGGGGAUCGGCUCGAUUACUUUGAGAAAAAUAGAGUGUUCAAAGCAGGCCACAUGCCUUGAAUAAGUUAGCAUGGAAUAAUAACUAAGGACUUCGGUUCUAUUUUGUUGGUGUUCGGGACUGAAGUAAUGAUUGAUAGGGACAGUUGGGGCGGUCUGUAUUCCAAAGCGAGAGGUGAAAUUCUUAGACCUUCGGAAGACAAACAGCUGCGAAAGCGUUCCGCAAGGAUGUUCCCUUUGAUCAAGAACGAAAGUUGGGGGAUCGAAGACGAUCAGAUACCGUCGUAGUCUCAACUAUAAACUAUACCAGCUAGGGAUCGGCCAACGUUAUUCUAUACCGACUUGGUCGGCACCUUAUGAGAAAUCAAAGCAUCUGGGUUCCGGGGGGAGUAUGGUCGCAAGGCUGAAACUUAAAGGAAUUGACGGAAGGGCACCACCAGCCGUGGAGCCUGUGGCUUAAUUUGACUCAACACGGGAAAACUUACCAGGUCCAGACAUAGUAAGGAUUGACAGAUUGAUAGCUCUUUCUUGAUUCUGUGGGUGGUGGUGCAUGGCCGUUCUUAGUUGGUGGAGUGAUUUGUCUGGUUAAUUCCGUUAACGAACGAGACCCCAGCCUGCUAAAUAGCGCGCGUGAGCUUUGCUCGCGGCGAGCUUCUUAGAGGGACUAUGAUGCGCGAUAGCACAUGGAAGUUUGGGGCAAUAACGGGUCUGUGAUGCCCUUAGAUGUUCUGGGCCGCACACGGGCUACACUGGCGCCUGCAACGAGCAUAUCAGCUGGCCCGAGAGGGUCUUGGCUAAUCUUUUGAACCGGCGCCGUGCUUGGGAUUGACCUUUGCAAUUGUUGGUCAUGCAACGAGGAAUGCCUUGUAAACGCGAGUCAUCAGCUCGCAUUGAAUACGUCCCUGCCCUUUGUACACACCGCCCGUCGCUCCUACCGAUGAAUGUUCCGAUGAAAUUUUCGGAGAGCACCUGUGAACUUGGCUCUGCCUUGCGAACGGGAAGCUCAAAGUCACUUAAAUCUGAACAUUUCGAGG
rnacentral:rRNA from 1 species